rnacentral:rRNA from 1 species
GACGAACGCUGGCGGCGUGCUUAACACAUGCAAGUCGAACGAUGAAGUUCCUUCGGGAAUGGAUUAGUGGCGAACGGGUGAGGAACACGUGAGAAACCUGCCUUUCAUUUUGGGAUAACUCCGGGAAACCGGGGUUAAAACCGAAUAAUCCGUCGCGGCGGCAUCGCGGAGCCGGGAAAAAAUUUUGAUGAAAGAUGGUAUAGCGGGCUAUCAGCUAGUUGGGGAGGUAAUGGCUCACCAAGGCAACGACGGGUAGCCGGCCUGGGAGGGCGACCGGCCACACUGGGACUGAGACACGGCCCAGACUCCUACGGGAGGCAGCAGUGGGGAAUAUUGGGCAAUGGGCGCAAGCCUGACCCAGCGACGCCGCGUGAGGGAUGAAGGCCUUCGGGUUGUAAACCUCUUUCAGUAGGGAAGAAGCGAAAGUGACGGUACCUAAAGAAGAAGCACCGGCUAACUAUGUGCCAGCAGCCGCGGUAA